AUUGAACGCUGGCGGCAGGCCUAACACAUGCAAGUCGAACGGUAACAGGAAGAAGCUUGCUUCUUUGCUGACGAGUGGCGGACGGGUGAGUAAUGUCUGGGAAACUGCCUGAUGGAGGGGGAUAACUACUGGAAACGGUAGCUAAUACCGCAUAACGUCGCAAGACCAAAGAGGGGGACCUUCGGGCCUCUUGCCAUCGGAUGUGCCCAGAUGGGAUUAGCUAGUAGGUGGGGUAACGGCUCACCUAGGCGACGAUCCCUAGCUGGUCUGAGAGGAUGACCAGCCACACUGGAACUGAGACACGGUCCAGACUCCUACGGGAGGCAGCAGUGGGGAAUAUUGCACAAUGGGCGCAAGCCUGAUGCAGCCAUGCCGCGUGUAUGAAGAAGGCCUUCGGGUUGUAAAGUACUUUCAGCGGGGAGGAAGGGAGUAAAGUUAAUACCCUGGCUCAUUGACGUUACCCGCAGAAGAAGCACCGGCUAACUCCGUG
rnacentral:rRNA from 1 species